CACAGGCCUGGGCUCGGCUCAUCGCACAGCCUCCAUCUCUGGAUGCCCUGAUUCAAGGAGAUUCAAAACCCGUGUCACUGCUGCCAUCUUCCUAGAAUCCCUUUAAAUCCUCAUGGAUUUGCUGACAUUGGGAGCAUCCUGAAAGAGUCCCCAUGCUAGGGUGGCUGCAGUAACAGGUACAAUGAGAAAUGAUGGUUCUCCCCACUCCAGAAAAAAUCAAAUCAGAUUGUGAAUUUAUUCCCUGACAUUAACACACGGCAUUACAGGAGCAUGUACAUCACAUGGUCAAUUUAUUGGCAUGAGGAUUAUGUCAUCGGGGAAUAAAUGGGAAAUUCUCAAGGUA
rnacentral:lncRNA from 10 species